rnacentral:rRNA from 1 species
UACGUAGGGUGCAAGCGUUGUCCGGAAUUAUUGGGCGUAAAGCGCUCGUAGGCGGUUUUUCGCGUCGAAUGUGCAAACCCGGGGCUCAACCCCGGGCCUGCAUUCGAUACGGGCAGACUAGAGUUCGGUAGGGGAGUCUGGAAUUCCUGGUGUAGCGGUGAAAUGCGCAGAUAUCAGGAGGAACACCGGUGGCGAAGGCGGGACUCUGGGCCGAUACUGACGCUGAGGAGCGAAAGCGUGGGGAGCAAACAGG